UACGUAGGGACCGAGCGUUGUCCGGAUUCAUUGGGCGUAAAGAGCUCGUAGGCGGCUGCUCAAUUUGAAUGUGAAAACUCGAGGCUCAACCUCGAGCCUGCAUUCGAUACUGGCGGGCUCGAGGCUGGUAGAGGGCGGUGGAAUUCCGGGUGUAGUGGUGGAAUGCGUAGAGCUCCGGAGGAACACCAGUGGCGAAGGCGGCCGCCUGGGCCAGUCCUGACGCUGAGCCGCGAAAGCGUGGGGAGCGAUCCGG
rnacentral:rRNA from 1 species